UGGGGAAUAUUGCACAAUGGGCGCAAGCCUGAUGCAGCCAUGCCGCGUGUGUGAAGAAGGCCUUCGGGUUGUAAAGCACUUUCAGCGGGGAGGAAGGCGUUAAGGUUAAUAACCUUGGCGAUUGACGUUACCCGCAGAAGAAGCACCGGCUAACUACGUGCCAGCAGCCGCGGUAAUACGUAGGUGGCAAGCGUUGUCCGGAUUUAUUGGGCGUAAAGCGAGCGCAGGCGGUUUCUUAAGUCUGAUGUGAAAGCCCCCGGCUCAACCGGGGAGGGUCAUUGGAAACUGGGAGACUUGAGUGCAGAAGAGGAGAGUGGAAUUCCAUGUGUAGCGGUGAAAUGCGUAGAUAUAUGGAGGAACACCAGUGGCGAAGGCGGCUCUCUGGUCUGUAACUGACGCUGAGGCUCGAAAGCGUGGGGAGCAAACAGG
rnacentral:rRNA from 1 species